rnacentral:rRNA from 1 species
GAUGAACGCUAGCUACAGGCUUAACACAUGCAAGUCGAGGGGAAACGGCAUCGAAAGCUUGCUUUUGAUGGGCGUCGACCGGCGCACGGGUGAGUAACGCGUAUCCAACCUGCCCAUCACUUGGGAAUAACCUUGCGAAAGUAAGACUAAUGCCCAAUGACAUCCCACGAAGGCAUCCGAAUGGGAUUAAAGAUUUAUCGGUGAUGGAUGGGGAUGCGUGUGAUUAGCUUGUUGGCGGGGUGACGGCCCACCAAGGCAACGAUCAGUAGGGGUUCUGAGAGGAAGGUCCCCCACAUUGGAACUGAGACACGGUCCAAACUCCUACGGGAGGCAGCAGUGAGGAAUAUUGGUCAAUGGGCGAGAGCCUGAACCAGCCAAGUAGCGUGCAGGAUGACGGCCCUAUGGGUUGUAAACUGCUUUUAUAAGGGAAUAAAGUGGGUCACGUGUGACUUUUUGCAUGUACCUUAUGAAUAAGGACCGGCUAAUUCCGUG